UAAACACUAUUGAUACUCUGGUUGAGAUUUUUCAAAGUUCUUAGUGAGAUGUUUAAAUUAGUAUAAAACUUCGAAUAACGUUUAUUCUUUGGUCUGCUGCAUCAAACUCAAACAAGUGCGCGCGCGCUUUUGAUAAGGAAAAAUUCAUACGCCGGCGCCGCACGAGAUUGACAUUCGCACAUAGAGGAUAAUAUGAAGGCUCUUUUAUUUUGACAUAUUAUCACAUCAUCCCGAGCCCAUUUUAACUCAAAAUGAGCUCAAACGAAAGCUUCCAGUUGGAGAUAUGGAAAGGCGAUUGGGGUCUACCCUCAGUAGAAGUUGACUGUCUGAAAAUUCUCGCGUAUGCCAAAUUCAGUAAUUUGUCGCUGCAUGUAAAAACCACUAAUAAUCCGUUUAAGUCUCCCACUGGUCAACUACCAGUUUUAAGGUAUCAAAAUGAAGUUUAUACUUCAGUAGAUCAAAUAUUUGAUCUCUUUCAGCAACACAAAUUUACUCCAGACAAUGAUAUAACAAGGUUGCAAAGUGCUGAAAUUGAUGCAUUUAAAACUAUGCUUGAUGAAUGUGUAAGGCCUGCAAUUCAAUACUUAUGGUGGGUAGAUGUACAGAACUUGAAUCAAGUUAUAAGACCUUGGUAUUGCAAAGUAUUAUCUUUUCCAUUUAAUUUUUAUUAUCCUGGAAAAUAUGAAAAACAAGCCAAGUUUAUGGUGGAAGCUCUACAUCCAACUAAAGAAGAAAAGGAUGCUGAAGUUUCAAUAUAUUCUAAAGCUCAAAAGUGUAUCACACUAUUAUCGACUAGACUGGGAGAAUCAAAUUACUUUUUUGGUUCAAAUCCUACAACUUUUGAUGUUUUAGUUUUCUCACAUUUGGCUCCUAUCCUCAAAGUACCGUUACCAAAUUGUUCUCUGCAAAAUCAUUUGAAAGCCUGCAGUAAUUUAGUUAAAUUUACAAAUGGUAUUCUUCAAAAAUACUUUGAGGAUGACUAUCAAGAAUAUGAAAAAUCUAAAUCUGAGAAAGAAAUGAAAACCAAAGUACAAAAAGAUGAUUUUCCAAAUAAAAGAAGAAACCAAAUUCUAGCUGGAAUUUUUGCUGGAACUGCAAUGCUUGGAUAUGCAUGGUCAAUGGGUAUUGUUCAAGUAAGAAAAAUAAUGAAAAUACAAUAAUGCCUGAUUUAAAUGUUAUAUUCAUUAAUCUAUAGCAUGUGAAAGGCAUUUCUGCUUGCUAUUAAAAGCUCCGGAAGAUGAUUAUAGACAAAUGGAAUACAUGUAUGCUGACGAUGCCGAAGAAGACGAUGAUGAAUAACAUUCUCAAGCACAAGUUAUAUCUCGUGAACUUUUAAAUUAAGGAAAAUUUGUUCAUUUGAAAUGUUGACUAUUUAUAGUUUUUUGUUCUUUUUUUUUACAUUUAUUACCAUUCAACUUAAAAGUUUUUUUCUUAUGUACAUAUGCAAUUGGAAUGAUUGCGCAAUGUUGAAAUGAUAAUUGUUAGUUCAUAUACAUAAAAAGCAAUAAAUUAUUUCUUAAUUUAAUCUUCA